rnacentral:rRNA from 1 species
UACGUAGGGACCGAGCGUUGUCCGGAUUCAUUGGGCGUAAAGAGCUCGUAGGCGGCUUGUCACGUCGGGUGUGAAAGCCCGGGGCUUAACCCCGGGUCUGCAUUCGAUACGGGCAGGCUCGAGUUCGGUAGGGGAGACUGGAAUUCCUGGUGUAGCGGUGAAAUGCGCAGAUAUCAGGAGGAACACCGGUGGCGAAGGCGGGUCUCUGGGCCGAUACUGACGCUGAGGAGCGAAAGCGUGGGGAGCGAACAGG